UACGUAGGGCGCAAGCGUUGUCCGGAAUUAUUGGGCGUAAAGAGCCCGUAGGCGGUUUGUUGCGUCGGCCGUGAAAACCUGCAGCUUAACUGUGGGCCUGCGGUCGAUACGGGCAGACUUGAGUUCGGUAGGGGAGACUGGAAUUCCUGGUGUAGCGGUGAAAUGCGCAGAUAUCAGGAGGAACACCGGUGGCGAAGGCGGGUCUCUGGGCCGAUACUGACGCUGAGGAGCGAAAGCGUGGGGAGCGAACGGG
rnacentral:rRNA from 1 species